rnacentral:lncRNA from 1 species
GGCGAAGCAUGACCGGAACAGGAAACCCUCGCCUGACCUAUGCGCGAAGACAAGGGAAUCAUGGACGGCCCUGACGGCCGGACAGGUCCCCGAAGAAAAGUUAUCAAGUAUGCGAAAUUAAGGUAAAACAAAGAUUAGUCGUAAUGGGCUCGCGAUUGGGCCAUGAUUAAGCUCCCUCUAAUCAUCGGCCCAUCAGGAAAACUAUAAAUAGGGGGCAAAGGUAAGAGGUAGGUGAUUUUUCUUGAAUGCUCAUUNAUGUCCUUUUCUCUUUCUAUCUCUACCUUGAUUGAAGAGGAACUUGCAUACUGACUUGAGCGUCGGAGUAUCUUUAGCAGGUAUCCGGACGCUUGAUAAAGAAGAACGGUCCACCCAGAGAAGUAACGGAAGACCGGACGGAUCGAAGUAGGAAAUUGUGCAAGGGAGCUUGGACCGAAGACCGACCGUGGGGCCGGAGGAUUAUACCCAAUGGUGACCACAAGGAACACGAACGCGGAGGAUCAAUCGGAGAUGUUGAGGCUGAUGGAGCAGAGAAUGAUGGAGAUGCAGCGAAAGCAUGAAGAAGAGAUGGCUGCGGUGAGGGCCGAAUGUUUGGCCCAGAUCGCUAGGAGUAAGAGAGGAG